rnacentral:rRNA from 1 species
CCUACGGUAGGCAGCAGUGGGGAAUAUUGGACAAUGGGGGGAACCCUGAUCCAGCGACGCCGCGUGAGUGAAGAAGUAUUUCGGUAUGUAAAUCUCUAUCAGCAGGGAAGAAAUAAAUGACGGUACCUGACUAAGAAGCCCCGGCUAACUACGUGCCAGCAGCCGCGGUAAUACGUAGGGGGCAAGCGUUAUCCGGAGUUACUGGGUGUAAAGGGAGCGUAGACGGCGAUGCAAGUCUGAAGUGAAAGGCGGGGGCCCAACCCCCGGACUGCUUUGGAAACUGUAUGGCUGGAGUGCAGGAGAGGUAAGUGGAAUUCCUAGUGUAGCGGUGAAAUGCGUAGAUAUUAGGAGGAACACCAGUGGCGAAGGCGGCUUACUGGACUGUAACUGACGUUGAGGCUCGAAAGCGUGGGGAGCAAACAGGAUUAGAUACCCGUGUAGUC